UAUUAUUAAGCUUGCGUUUUCUUCAAUUUUCCAAGGCUUAGUUUCAUUUGAUUUUUCCUCCAGCUGCUCUUCUUUCCUUUCAGUGCCAAAACAGCUCCUCAUCAAAGCGGCUCUGGCAUGUGAAGACCAAAUAAAAUCUCCUCAAUUUAAUAAUUUUGAUGUUAGUCCCUUGUUCUCAGCUGCUUGCUCAAAGCAAUGCAGAGAGGAACGCAGAGCACAUUCAAUUUAAUGAGCAGAAAUUGAAUUCAAGUUUGUUCGGAAUUGACUUCAAUUAAGCAGAGUCUUAAUGAUAAAUUAAUCUCUUUUCUUUAUUCCCCAGAAUUUGUUUUUCAAAGUAGGAAAUUGGACUACAUUGAAAGACCAAAUAAAGAAUACCAAUUUUAACUAGAUCAUGGAACUGAUAGCAAAAUUUAAUUCUUUAUAGUAACGUUCUUGGACAAAUAGCAUUCUUUCUAUGGCGUGUAUUAUAAU
rnacentral:lncRNA from 1 species